GGCUUCGUGGUCGAAUGAUAAGAACAUUUACCUUUAACCGUAGAGUCCCGGGUUCGAUCCCCGGUCGAGGAGUUA